UGGUCCUCUGGUGCUGAAGGGCAUCGACUUUAGCAUCGAAGGGAAGGAGAAGAUUGGAGUGGCAGGGAGAACAGGGUCAGGC
rnacentral:SRP_RNA from 1 species